UGCGACCCAAAAGUAGUAGACAUGAGGAGUAUUUCAUUUUGCAGAAUUAAAACUUCCUUUCCAUCUGCUGGGCAAAUCUGAAUUGGAUCUUCUUUUGCAGUGCAAUAGCAUUCUAGGCAGCCUAAGUUUUGCUUUCUGUAUUUCCAUUGUACAAUCCAGGCAUGCACAGUGCCCUCUAGGUUAGACUCCAGAUUGAGCAGUCUGGGCUUGAGCCCUGGCUAGGGACAUUGUGUUGAUGGCAAAACACUUCUAUUACUCUCGCAGUGCCUCUCUCCACCCAGGUGUACAAAUGGGUGCUACUUGGGGGUAACCCAGCUAUGGACUAGUAUCCCAUUCAAGGGGGACUAGAAAUAAAUUCUUAGUGGAUUUAUGCUGCAGAAACCGGGAUAAGCUCCAGCCUGAUGGGCUACCAUUACCACCCACCAUUUGCACUGUGCGACUGAAAUCUUUUCCCAAAGACACAACUGAUGUAACCAGUCCAAACAUUUACACUGUAUACAUUGGUAGCCUUAGGUGAUGUUAAUUACCAUAUUUUUUUCACAUAAUGUUGCAAGAAAAGCACAAGAUUAUAUUUCACAGACUCCGUUCGAAAUAUAUGAGACAACAAAUGGUACAAAUUUCUCGGUUAGUGCUUCAAACCACUUUUUAGCACCAACAGAAGGGCAAACCCCCCUAAAGAAACAAUAAAAGGGGCUUGGGUAUACCCACAAGGCCCUGGGACGUAGAUCUCGUGGUCCCAUGAUGCUUCGGUGGCUUUUUGAUGCCAUGGAAUAGACAGACAAAAGAGAGACCCCAUAGAAGGGAGGGAAGAAGGGUGGGAAGCUCAUAUAUUUCUCACUUCAUCUGUUCAUAUAAUUUGAAUUAUAACUUCAGGCCGCUUCACGGCCCUAGUGUAAUUCUCAUUCAAUAGUCAUGUUCCUUUUAUAAUAAGUGCUGACAUUUUUUCAGACCCGUCAAAUGCUGGAGGUGACUCCAUGUAUGCAAUGAUGAAAUCUGUCCCUGGAGGAAACAUGUCUGCAUACAUGGGAGGUGGCCCAGACUCCGCGUUACCCUUAGGGGCCCAGGAGGCUCCACUUGUUAUGAACGAUUCAAACCCUGAUAUGGAUGGUCUGCCCAAGGAUAAUCAGAAUGAUCACAACCCC